rnacentral:rRNA from 1 species
GAUGAACGCUGGCGGCGUGCCUAAUACAUGCAAGUCGAGCGAACAGACGAGGAGCUUGCUCCUCUGACGUUAGCGGCGGACGGGUGAGUAACACGUGGAUAACCUACCUAUAAGACUGGGAUAACUUCGGGAAACCGGAGCUAAUACCGGAUAAUAUAUUGAACCGCAUGGUUCAAUAGUGAAAGACGGUUUUGCUGUCACCUAUAGAUGGAUCCGCGCCGCAUUAGCUAGUUGGUAAGGUAACGGCUUACCAAGGCAACGAUGCGUAGCCGACCUGAGAGGGUGAUCGGCCACACUGGAACUGAGACACGGUCCAGACUCCUACGGGAGGCAGCAGUAGGGAAUCUUCCGCAAUGGGCGAAAGCCUGACGGAGCAACGCCGCGUGAGUGAUGAAGGUCUUCGGAUCGUAAAACUCUGUUAUUAGGGAAGAACAAAUGUGUAAGUAACCAUGCACGUCUUGACGGUACCUAAUCAGAAAGCCACGGCUAACUACGUG